rnacentral:rRNA from 1 species
UACGGAGGGUGCGAGCGUUGUCCGGAAUCACUGGGCGUAAAGGGCGCGUAGGCGGUCGCGUAAGCGUGUGGUGAAAGCCCGGGGCUCAACCCCGGGUCUGCCGUGCGAACUGUGCGACUUGAGCACUGUAGAGGCAGGUGGAAUUCCGGGUGUAGCGGUGGAAUGCGUAGAGAUCCGGAAGAACAUCGGUGGCGAAGGCGGCCUGCUGGGCAGUGUCUGACGCUGAGGCGCGACAGCGUGGGGAGCAAACAGG